AGAGUUUGAUUCUGGCUCAGGAUGAACGCUGGCGGCGUGCCUAACACAUGCAAGUCGAGCGAAGCGCAUAAGUUAGAAUCUUCGGAGGAAGACAUAUGUGACUGAGCGGCGGACGGGUGAGUAACGCGUGGGUAACCUGCCUUACACAGGGGGAUAACAGUUAGAAAUGACUGCUAAUACCGCAUAAGACCACAGUACUGCAUGGUACAGUGGUAAAAACUGAGGUGGUGUAAGAUGGACCCGCGUCUGAUUAGGUAGUUGGUGGGGUAACGGCCCACCAAGCCGACGAUCAGUAGCCGGCCUGAGAGGGUGGACGGCCACAUUGGGACUGAGACACGGCCCAGACUCCUACGGGAGGCAGCAGUGGGGAAUAUUGCACAAUGGGGGAAACCCUGAUGCAGCGACGCCGCGUGAGCGAUGAAGUAUUUCGGUAUGUAAAGCUCUAUCANCAGGGAAGAAAAUGACGGUACCUGACUAAGAAGCCCCGGCUAACUACGUGCCAGCACCCGCGGUAAUACGUAGGGGGCAAGCGUUAUCCGGAUUUACUGGGUGUAAAGGGAGCGUAA
rnacentral:rRNA from 1 species